rnacentral:lncRNA from 1 species
CCGCCAUGGCGGGUGGGUGAAAGACCCGAGCUAACAUGGGGUUAGCUCGUUAAAUUACAAUAAAGCCUCGUGCAGUUUGCAGCAAGCUCUCGAAUCCGCCUGGUGAUUGGGGUGACCGCGAACCUGGCCUGAGACCCCGGAUACUUGAGUUUUCGGGGGUCUAACAUUUUGGGGGCUCGUCCGCGAUUUGCGACCACCCUUCACCUGAGUGGAUUCGAUCUUGGAGCACAUGGCACGGGAAAGGAGUUCUGCCAUGUGUCACGGGUUAGAAUGUGUUAUGUUGGAGUCCCCCGAGGCUGCUUUUCUGAACUCGAACCACUGCUGCAGCCCUUACAGCUGAGCCUGGCCCAUGUAGACAGACUGCCAGAUCCUGACAGUGACCCAAAGUCUCCAAAGAAGAUUACGAGGCACCUCAGUUCCUGCACCUGGACCAGUGAGCGAGAUGCUCAGAUGUGAUACCUGCCGCCUGCCAGAACCUAGCCGAGACUGUGGACAAAGCUGCUAGACACUGGAAAAUUGAUUGCACCCCUUUGCCUAGACAAAACAAGACAUCUGAAUAUCAGUUGCUGACUACAGACUGUUCUAAGACUGCGAGCCCUGGACUUGCUGUGGAUGUGAACCAGUUCAGCUGAUAUGGACACCCCCUGUCUCUGCAACAGUGUCUGCUACCCAGAAGCCCCUGAUGAAUUCCCCAUUGCCUAAAUCCCUUUUUGCUUUUGACUAGCAUUUCAACCUUCUGGGGUCCCUAACUUCGUCCCAAAGUCAGCAGGAAGCAGUUUAGAAAAGAAUUUCGGCGUCCAUUUUCCCUGGUUAAAAUGCUAAGUCAAAAGGAACUCCCUUACAUGGGGAUGCCAAUAUCUAUCACUCCCUGAUGGGGAUGCUAGAGAGACAGCAAUUCCAUGAUUGGAAUUUCCAGAAAAGAAAAUGGGGGAAUGAAGGAACCGGCUUCCCUUUUGGCAGCCAUAAUGGUUGAACAUGUGCUUCUAUGACCUUGUCCUAGAAACCAGAAAGUCAGAUGCCUGUCUUGUGACAAGGAACCAAUCAGAAGUUAGCUGGUGGUGCUAUGCUUUAUGGCUCUGGGUGUGCUUUACGGACAAGCGCACA